UCCCUUGUAGCUCAGUCGGUAAAGAAUCUGCCUGCAAUGCAGGAGACCCGGGUGCGAUUCCUGGUUGGGAG
rnacentral:tRNA from 1 species